rnacentral:rRNA from 1 species
AACGUAGGUUCCGAGCGUUAUCCGGAUUUACUGGGCGUAAAGCGCGUUCAGGCGGUUUGGCAAGUCGGGCAUGAAAUCUCUCGGCUCAACCGGGAGAGGUUGUCCGAUACUGUCAGACUGGAGGGCAGUAGAGGGUGGUGGAAUUCCGGGUGUAGUGGUGAAAUGCGCAGAUAUCAGGAGGAACACCGGUGGCGAAGGCGGGUCUCUGGGCCGAUAUUGACGCUGAGGAGCGAAAGCGUGGGGAGCGAACAGG